UGUUGGAGAUAUAGUCUGUUUGAGGUAGAAGGAAGUGGGGAGGGGGAAAUAAAGCUUAGAAACCUUAGGUUUAUAUUUUAUUAUUGUUAGAAUUUGUAAUAAAAGUAAAGCUUAGGGAGUGAGUAAGUUUUGACUCUGUGGAGCAUCUGUUGACUAAUCAAAGCAGGUUUCACUUCUGUAGCAGGUAUGAGCUGAAGUGAGAUAAGAUGUGGAAAUUGAUGCAGUGUGAAAAGAAUCUCAAGUGCUUUUUAUUUCUUGAGAAUAUGUAGGCGUGUAUAUCGAAGCUUUAAAAAAAGAUGUGUGUGAGAAGAUCACAUUUCUGAUGAUCUGUCUGAUUCUUCAGCUGUUGCAUUCAGGAGGGUGAGCCGUUCCUGCCUGCUGCAGUAUGACAGCUGUGCUCUGCUUCCUGCAAGCCUGCACUGAGCUGAGGAGUCCCUCUAUGCCACUGGCCCUUCUUCUGCUUGGGAUCAAGGGCCUUGAGCCCACAAGCCC